rnacentral:pre_miRNA from 1 species
CUUGUACUCCCUCCGUUCGAAAAUACUUGUCAUUGAAAUGGAUGUAUCUAGAUGUAUUUUAGUUCUAGACACAUCCAUUUUGAUGACAAGUAAUUCCGGAUGGAGGGAGUACUUG